AUUCUCAAUUUAAAAACUUACUACAAAGCAACAGCAACCAAGAUAGUAUGGUUCUGGCAUAAGGAUAGAAAUAUAGACUAAUGGAUAGGAUUGAGAUUCCAGAAGUAAUCCUAUAUAUCUUUUGCCUAGGUCAAUUAUAAUUUAACAAGAAUGCCAAGACCAUUCAAUGGGGAAACAAUCGUGUUUUCAACAGCUGGUGCUGGGACAGCUGGCCAUCCAUAGGCGAAAGAAUAAAGUUGGAUCCCUACCUCACAUCACAUACAAAAGUUAUCUCAAAAUGACAGGAGGGAAGGUCACACAAUAAGAAUAGGACCACAGAUGUUUAAUGAUUAUUCACCUUACUAACUAUGGAUAAGAGGUUUUCUGAGAAACUGGAGGAUGUGCAAAAAGAAAAACAGAGCUCUAAAAAGAUGAGACAUCUCAGAGCAAGGAUGGGUCCAUUGCUCAGAAAAGAAAAUGCAUUUUGAGGACAAAGGACAGGAUGCACUUUGGUUUGGUUGCUGUGCUGUGCCUCUGGGAGUUUGCCUCAGGAAUGUGAUCCCUUCUCCGGUUUUACCACCAUUGAAAAUUAACUACUUUCCUAUUGGACUUCAAUAUCUUGGAAGGUAUUAUCUCUUGGCUGUGAUGGCCCUUAUAUCUUCCAAAGACUCCUUUCCCUUGAUUACUGUAUCCCAAGACCCAUGUUCCCAGGUGCCCAGGUGUAUGACCAUCUUCCUUACUUCUGCUGACCAUCAUCUGUAAAAGACACAGAUGGCUGCACGGUGAAAGAUAACCAACCAAUGUCCAAGCUCAGAAAAAAGAAGGUGGUGAAUUCAUUUGUUUGUUUUCCUUUUGCGUUGUAAGAAUAAAUCGUUACUCAUUCAAUAAAUUGUUGAGCACCUUUAUGUAUGCAUAAACACUCUGUCUUUAGAAGCAGCUUCACUGUUAAAGGCUGCUAUUUACU